UCGGAAAUAGAAGCUCUCUCGCGCUGCCACGUCGGAUCCGCACCAUUUCACUUAAGCGUUGCUCUGUCCGAACGGGCUUCACGUGGGCUUCGUCACGCGCUAAUCAAAUGUUUUCUGUCGCGAGGCCCGUCCGCAUACGUCUUCUACGGGGAACCCUAAACAGAUGCUCCCUUCCUGUUCUUCGUUCGUCGCCUAUCGCCGCAGCGGCUGUCUAGAACCUGUAACGGUUUUGCUUUCAAUCACCUUAAAUCGUCUUUAAUUCACCAAUAAUGGAGUUUCAAGAGGAUGUAGUCUUGAAGAAUCUAUGUAAGAAGCUUCGUUUGCGUCUUUACGCAUUCCUUUCUAAUCCUUUGAAACGUUAAUGGUUAUUUAUUCAUGGUUGUCUAAUCUCUGCAAGUUGGUCUCUCAGCACCUAUAAAAGCUGCGACACAAGAAGUUACGAUGAACGGAGUCCUCAUCGGUUUGAAUCAGCCCUAGGGACGACAGAGUCGCGGAGAUCUUCGAUUCCGUACCUCUCAUUCCUCCUCUCGAGAUCUCUCGCUCAUCAUGUUAGAGGAGCAUUACGUGGCUAUGUGAGGAGAUGGAGUUGAGAUGAGGAUGCUAGCUCUUACAGCUUUGGAUGUUCUACGGUUCGUCAGAUUUUUACAAUUGAUACAGGUUUUUGUGUUUUGAGUGAACUUUUGACGCUGAGGAUAUGCAAGAGUUCAAUGUCUAGCAUGCAGGACAACAGAUGACUAAUUGCAAUAAGCUGGCUAGACUUGAUGGAGUUCCAUACCGUGAUUUCACUGGAUAGGUCUUUGGUUUUUUUUUUUUUGGAAAAGAAAAAAAAUGUAGUUUGCAUUUUAGGGGUUAACAUGUUAAACUCAAGCAUCUUUCUUAGUUGUUGUUUGUCUUGCGCUGUUGGCAGGAGAGGAUUUGACUAUUCUCUAUGGGUUCGAAUGUAAGGAUAAUGUUUGAGACCAACACACAAAACCCACCGGGUCAUAUAAACGAACAGUGUCACUUACCAAAUAACCAAAAAUUUAGCAAAACACCCUUACAAAGCUGCAGCGCAACAUAGCGUCCCAAUAAAAGCCACCCUCAAGAACUGCAUACUAACCUCCCUGCAACCCAUGUUAGUCAGGAUAGUUGUUUGCUUGAACUCUGACCUCACAGCACCUUCUGUUUUUUUUUAUCAGCACCUACAACAACUAAAACAAUGGAAUCAGAAGCAGAGCUUGAAGGUCAUUUGUUUGAAUCAUCAACCUUAAACUGUUGCUAUUAAACCAAUAUAAACCCGGUAAGGACUACAUUAUUACUUUUAAAAAAUUAGGAAUCACCCAACAAUUAUGUUGUCAACGCUUAGAACACAUUUAUAUUAAAAGGAACAGUCAAAUUCCUUAAAAAAAAGUAAUAAUUUCAGUCCACUAUGGAAACCAUGGUAUACUUCUUAUUGAACCAAAUGACGUGUCGAAGUGUCGAACCCGGACAUGGAACCAUGACCAUGGGUAACAAAAACUCAAAAUACAUGUGUUAAUAACGAAGCCAUUACACAAUCCACAC